rnacentral:rRNA from 1 species
UACGUAGGGGGCGAGCGUUGUCCGGAGUUACUGGGCGUAAAGCGCUUGUAGGCGGUCCACCAAGUUUGGGGUGACAGUUGCCGACUUAAUCGGCAAAGUGCCUCAAAGACUGGCGGACUUGAGGGCAACAGAGGGACAUGGAACUCCAGGUGUAGUGGUGAAAUGCGUAGAUAUCUGGAAGAACACCAAAGGCGAAGGCAGUGUCCUGGGUGGUCGCUGACGCUGAGAGGCGAAAGCCAGGGGAGCGAACGGG